GCUGUGAACAGCACCAAAAAAGGGAAAAGCAGCAAAUUAGUGCUACUGGUACAGCUGUGGAUGGUUAAGAAGUAAAGCCCAUAGGGCCUCCAUGUGAGUGCUCUCAGCUGUUGGAGGAGAGGAGUGGAGCUGAUCUGUGCUGGGCACUUCUGCUGGUCCUGUCCGAGCAGCAGGAGAUGCCUAAUCACAAGCGGGUCUGAGCAUCAAAGGCAGUUUUGCCGAUGCCGACACAACAGGGAUUUCAGCCCCUCCACCAUGGGACAAGAAGAGGCCCUGAGCACCAAGGACGUGUGUUUCCCUGAUCUGCUGCCACACUUCUGCAUCUGGAGGUGUCCUCAGAGGCCAUGAUCCGGCCCUGAAGCGUGCAAGGGCUGGCUGCGGGGCCAAGGGAAAAACAAGCUUGUGUGUGACACAGCAGUGAUGUUGGUGCUGCUUCUUACAAAUGCCAGUGAUGGGCAUCUGGCAGAUGGGCCAGGAGCACCUUCUGCAGAGCACAGAUGUGAUGUUCGGGAAUCUCAGCCCGUAUGCGUAACAGUGAUACAAUGCCCAAGGAGGGGCACGCUCUGUGGGGAAUGUGAGUGUGACCCAGUUUUAAGGUCGUUUGGAGUCUGUUGACUUUGGGCUGCUCUCAGUGGCCGUGGAACCUGACUUUCGUCAGACAACAGCCGGACAGAGUCUCCUGAUGGAGGGAGGUGUUUGCAUCAAGCAAAGUGUGCUGAGAAGGCAGGGAGCUGCUGCUUCUGGGACCUCGUGACUCUCUGGGACAGAGGAGAACAAGAGCAAGAGCUAUGGCAGCUUUGAACCACGCUGGAUCAGUGAGAUAGGUUUGGGAGCUCUUCGUUUCCUAUGGUCACACUAUGCAUGCGUGGAAAAUUAAUGUCAACGACAAAACCUCUGCAAGGACAUCAGCACCCACCUGGGGAGCACCGUAGUGAGGCUGUGGAUGUCAGCAGGGCGAGCUGCAAUACCACAGCCCGCGCGUUAAACGGGAAAUGAAACAGAAAUGGAAAUGAACGCCCGCAUCUGUCCCGUUUUUAAGGUAAAGGCAGAAAUCACCUCGUGUCUCCCAGUCCGGCCACGUUCACCCAAGGAAGGUGGGGAGAAGUCAAUGUCCAGGGAAAAUGUGCAACCAUCAUCUGCAAACGAAGAGUGGGAAAUCCUACGGGAUACGGUGAUGGAGCAAAAGGGGGGGAUGGAAAACAUCUGUACGUCGGUUGAGCAUCGGGAGCCUUUGUGCCCGAGUCGUUUUGGAAGGCGGAGGGGCAUCGGGACUUCCCGUCCCUCCCUGUGCCCUUCCUGUGUUGCGCAGCGGUCACAGAGAAGGACGCACCGGGGAGCGCUGGGCACAGCCGUGUCCCCGAAAUUUGCACCUGCAAAGAGGGAGCGAGCCAGGCGAGGGGAAUGUGCGACGGGAUGGAGAAAUAUCGAAUGUUUCUGGCCGUGUGCGUUGCCAAAGCAGUCGGGCUGAAGAGGUAAAGGCGGUUCGCACGCAACGAUUUCAGGGCAAGGAGUUAAAACGAGCGAGCGAAUUCAGGCGCCGUUGUCGCCGUUCGUGCCGGCUCCUCCUGCCCCGGCAGCUCCCCGCCUCGCCCCGGCACACGCCGCGGAGCUUCGCACCGCUUCCCCGCACGGGAAGGGCUCCUCCGCCCGCGGACGGACCCCCGACGGCAG
ensembl:lncRNA